CGGGACGGGUGAGUAAUGUCUGGGAAACUGCCUGAUGGAGGGGGGUAACUACUGGAAACGGUAGCUAAUACCGCAUAACGCGCAAGACCAAAGAGGGGGACCUUCGGGCCUCUUGCCAUCGGAUGUGCCCAGAUGGGAUUAGCUAGUAGGUGGGGUAACGGCUCACCUAGGCGACGAUCCCUAGCUGGUCUGAGAGGAUGACCAGCCACACUGGAACUGAGACACGGUCCAG
rnacentral:rRNA from 1 species